ensembl:lncRNA
UCUCUCUCUUUCAGUAUGCAAUAUUACAUCAAUAACAUCUCCAGCUGCGUCAGCACUUCUGGUGAAAUGGAACAAAUACACUGGAGCAACAAACUACUUUUUGGACCUUCGGGUAAUAAAUGCGACAGAUAUAGCUCCUGUCGUGGUAACGCUACCAGCUACCAGUACGGAAAAACUGGUCCAGGGCCUGAGACCUGGAACCUUGUAUAGUGUUACGGUCAAAGUGUUCCAGUUCUACUAUGUUAUGUGCUUGAAAACACAAGUGGCCAAAACAGUUCCCGACACCUCUCAGAUAACCUCCUCAAGGGCAUUAUCAAGUACUUCAAUCCAAAUAGAAUGGGUGCGCGUGUACACCGCGGACCAUUAUCACCUGUUGAUGGAAUCAAAGACCAUGGUAGAGAGGCUUAAUUUGACCUUCACCAACAUGAGCGCUGUGGUCCAAAACCUGCAGCCUUCAACCGUCUAUGACUGUUACAUCUACACCGCAAACCAAGCUGGUCUUGGAGCGAGAAGCAGAGUGAGGACCAUUUCUACCUUGAUCCAACCGCCAAAGGGAGUUACAGCCAACCAGAUUGGAAAUAGUUCAGUGCGCCUCUUCUGGCAGCCAGUGGAAAAGGUUAUUCUUUACGAGGUGACGGUUACCGACCUGGAUGAACCAGACCACGCACUGUUCAAGACAAAAGUGUCACAAAACCAACUGGACAUAAGGGAUAUCCUGCCAUGUUCCUCUUAUCAGAUAUCAGUGGCUUCUGUCAACACCUUACUGGAGCCAGGAGAGCCUACUGAAUACACAUAUACUACAAACAGUGAGUAAGCUUUUAUAAUCCGUUUUAAAAUGAGUCAUUACUGUCAGAUAAACUAGGUAUUUU